rnacentral:rRNA from 1 species
UACGUAGGUGGCAAGCGUUGUCCGGAAUUAUUGGGCGUAAAGCGCGCGCAGGCGGUUCUUUAAGUCUGAUGUGAAAAGCCCCCGGCUCAACCGGGGAGGGGUCAUUGAAAACUGGGGAAACUUGAGUGCAGAAGAGAAAGAGCGGAUUCCACGUGUAGCGGUGAAAAUGCGUAGAGAUGUGGGAGGGAAACACCAGUGGGCGAAAGGGCGGGCUCUUUGGGUCUGUAAACUGACGCUUUGAGGGCGCGAAAGCGUGGGAGCGAUCCGGG